rnacentral:lncRNA from 1 species
CGUUCAACAACUGCCCUAUGUGCAUUAGAGACCAUGUUUAUAGUAUUUUUACUGCAUUUUCUUAAAACCAUGCCUAUAGUUUGAACGCGUAAAAAAUCUAUUAUCACCUAGCCUAUAAGGAAUACGCUUAAGAACAAUCUCAAUACUUAGACAUCAUACUCUUAGGGAUGAAAGUGGCAAAUCAAUUCUGUAAUGCUUGUGAUCAUUUUUUAGCAC